GGACAACAAUAAGGACACCAUUAUUAUAAUGUUAAGACACUUUAAAAACAAACGCUCAGUGUUGAGGUACCGUAAAAAUGGUAUGGCAUAAUUUUAAAUCCUACAUAAAAACACAUUAGUAUGUCCUGCCCCUGCUGUUGCAGAACUGAUAGGUGACUAUUCUACCUGUAACUUUUAAGUCUGUUAUAAUUAUUCUAUUCUAUCACAAUUGUUAUUUUAUAUUAUUACUGCUCAAAAGUUUAAGAGGUUCUGAAGUUGUACUUUUUUGUUUGAAAUUGCAGUUUCUUUUCUCCCGAAAUCAUGUAAUCAACUUUUUUGUUGCUAAAUUACAAUCAGUGUAUUUGUGCACCUUUAAUUGUUUUCUGAUUCAUAAACCAAGUCUGAAUAUUUUUAGGAUAUGUUUUGCAUUAUGAGUAUUUUUUUCUUCCUAAUGUUUCUCAGUGAGCACAGGCUGAUAUGACUGCUCUGUGACUACAGACAAUCAUUGAUCGUUUCUAUUUUGCACUGUUAAAUGGAACAUCAAUGUCUCCCAAGACCAAAUUGACUAAUUCGCCAAAAACAUAUUGCAAAUUACUGUAUAUUCACAUUGGACAUGUUGUAUUUUGACAUGCUUUCUAAUCGAAGUGGAUUAUUGUUACACUCUAUUGCAGUGAAUAAAGAAGCUUGGUCGGAGCAAAACCCAUAUACAGUCAAUCAUUAUCCCUACGCUAAAAGUAUCUAGUGAAUGCCUUGAUGAGCAAAUACAUGUUAAAAUCCCCCAAGUCUUUUCUCAUUCCCACUACCUGGCACUUAAUAUUAUAUACCCCAUUAAAAAUAUCUUCUGGUGUCCUGUCUUUUGGACUAGGCCUUUUGAGUCAUCCAUCCAUAUUACGAUCAAAUCCACAGAGCUCAUGGUAUUUACACUUAAAUGCCUCAUGUUAUGCAAGGCAAUUUUUAUGUGUUGUAUAUAAAUAUUUUUUGUAUCUUUUUCUGUUAACCAUAUAUACUUGUAAUAUGAAGUAGUGUCCCUCAUUUGUGUAGAAGAUGCCUGUUUAUACAGAACAAACAGAGCCUGUCUGAUUGAAAUAAACCAAACAAAUGAUCAAGUGCAUAUUAUAUACGUAAAUAAAGUCAAACUUUUUAGAUCCAUC
ensembl:lncRNA